GCCGGUCAUAGCUCAUGAUAUAAAAUACUAGCUGUUGACUCACAGUUACACUAGAAGGGCCAAUUUUACAGACUGCUGGAAUAAAGAUGAUUUUAAUUAAAUUGCACAAAUCCCUUUGUACUGUAACCAAAGCCUCUUCAGGCUGGCUGACGCUGAGCCACUCUGGCGUGUGUAGAGUUAACCAGGUUACCGGGCUUCCUAGUUAACUUCUUUCACCAGGAAUGCAAUUCGUGUUUACCUAUAUAAGGAAACCUGUUAGGCUGACCUGAGUUUGGCGGAUUUUUGCGCUGACUGGGAGGCGUGUGAGCACACAGCCCAGAGACGGGGAGUGAUUCCGAGCUGGACAGAGCAAGCUUCCUGAUCGCACCAGCCAUUCAGCUGAUCCGAGGCAGGCUGCCUGGAGGACUUACAGGUUUGCCUCUUCCAGAUCACAGUUGAGGAACAAAAACCCCGUCCUGGGAAAAAUGGGGAAGCCGGUGAGUCUUACCGAUCUCUCUCUGUAUGUUGCUGCUCAGGGGCACGCCUCGCUGGUCUCACCCAGGAAGUGGAGGCAGAGGCGUCGCUCAGCCUCUCACCCCACAGCUCCUUCCUGAACAAACACCAGGCUUCGCGAAUACCUCCAGACAACUUUUCCUUCCUGUUUUGUACCCCGAGAAUCCACAGAGGCAGUGAUUUUCGCACCUUAAGAGUGUUUUGGUGGUUUGAGGAGGUGGAGGGCGGGGGGGCGUUGGCUUUUUUUCUUUUUUACUACUCAGGAGUUUCUCUCCUACAGCGAUGAGCAAACUUUCUCAUCUUUGUUGCUCUCCACGGAGUGGAAAGAAGCCCUGGGGUGCUUCGCAAGAAUGCCGAGCCCCCAAGGAUGUCAAUAGUAACUUUAAGUGGGGUUCCAAAAACCACAGGCGAAGUGAUAGUCUGUAGAAGUGCAAUUUGUCACAAAAAAGGCAGUCUGAAGGUAUCAUUUUUCAUUCAUGCGGCAGCAAAAAUCCUUCCAUCCUGCACAUGUAAUAAAGGACACCUUCUGAGACACUGAGAAAAGAAAGAAGCUGAGCUGAGCUCUUUGUUCUAGACAAUGUAAAGAAGCCCACUCUUGCGUUUUGACAAGUUAGCAUAUGUCUAUUUAUAUAUAAGGCAGGAACUAUGUAGAAAGGCUUUAUGUCAAAGGCAUUGUGGUCGAUUGAGUUAAAAUUUGGCUCUAUUCUAUAUGUGGACAAAAAUUGAAGUCUGAAUGUAAUUAAACUGGGAAAUGUGAAAGUGUUUAACAGACUUGCAGGGGAAUUUUAGUAAUACUGCGGAAUGCUCAAUUAUAAGAGGCAACUGAAUGAGAAAGAAGAAAAAGCCGUUCCAACUGAGUUCGGGGGCUUAGGUAAAACUUUUGAAAAAAAAAGUUUAUUUUUGAAAAAUCUAGUAUAGCCAUCCAAAAUAAUUUUGGAAUGGGGUACAUUUUUUUUUCCCUGGCAAGGUGAUUUUCUUAAUUCAGUGAGCUUGGAUAAUUGUUUUGAAUGAUUUGACUUUUCAUCUUGCAGAGAAAUAUUGUCAUUUUCUGUCAUGCAGAGUGACUUAAUACUAAGGGUUUGGGGAGCAGGCAAGUGGCACACAGACCCAAUUUCCAAUAUGUCAUAUUAAGAAAUUAGUUUCUUAAAUUAAUUUCAAGAAAAGCAACCAGCACAAACAAGCAGGUUUGAGCGAAUGGCCACUUUUUUUAAAAUUGCAAGUCAUAGUCCUUUCAAUAGUGAGGUUUAAUACAGAGAUUGGCAACUGCUUAUUCAUAAAAACAAAAGCUGUGGCCAGUUUUAUUUAGAGCUCUCAACUUGCAAAAGCCUUACUAUUUGCAGUAACACAGUUUAAAUGAAACCUGCUCAUCUCAAUGAGAAUGGAACCAAGAAAAGCAGUGUGUGUGUAAGACAGCAGAUGUCUUAGUAAAUAAAUUUCAUAACACAAGCAGCAGAACUGAGGAGCCUAAUGCAAAUGUUUUAAAGCUUGUUAUCUCCUCACUGCUGCUCAGAAAAAAUAGGAGUCUUGAUAUUGUACUGCUUUCGAUGGAAAUCAGUAACCCAGGAGACACAAAACACUUUUAAAAUAUACGGUUAAUAACAGAUGUUUAUACCUGGUUGUCUCACCCUGCUGAAGAGAUGGCCCCCAGCCAAGUCGACUAGCACGUCCGCUGUUUUUUCUGUGAGUUGAUAUGUACACAGUUAUUAUACACUAAUUACAUCAACGGCCAAGGGAAUAUAUAACUAGAAAGAUAAAUCUGUCUCCUGGUUGGGGAGGGCUGCGAGUAAGCUUGGGUUUGGGGAAUCUCAUGUUUAGAGUUCUUCUUGCCAGUGGCUGAUGAAUUACUGUUAGUGACUGGGAUCCCUGACUGCUGAAUUUACUUACCUCUGGUUCCUGGGCAGCUCAUUUGGGGGUAAUAAGAGUGAUUAUUGUAUUUAAUGCUUUGGUAUUCAUAGAGUCCCAACAGGAUUUCUUCUUGAAGAUCAAAGUUAUUUCAGGGUCCAAACUAAUCCUCCAGUGAAAGGCAGGUAAGGUGCAGCGGUGCCGCAUUAGUUGUUUUCCAGUCACUGGUGCUGUGUGUUUAGGUCUAUGAGGUGUUAGUAAGUGUCCUGGUUAAGGAGACUGAAAAAUCAUGGGAGGGAAAAAGCAAGUGAUGGAACCUUAAUAUUGUCCUUUGCUCAUAUAUAUUGUGACACUCUAAAAAGUGCAGCAUAUGAAUUAUGAUUUGUUGCAAAUGUACCUGAUGGAUCCUUUUGGCCUGAUCAUCCUGAGAAACAGUCUCUAAGGCAAAGCUUUCUGAAAGAUGGGCCAUGGGGUACUGGUAGAUGAUGAGCGAGUUGCAGACAUGCCCAGAAGUUGAUCCCCCUUGGCAUCUGGGUCAUCAAGCUGUGCCUGGGAUGGGCAUAUCCCCCUGAGGGUUAUCUAUGGACCACUUAGUUUCCUCAGCUUUCCCCAAUGCGUUGUACAGAUAGGAUCAAUUUCUGUGUAAAAGCUAGGAAACUGUCUUUGACAAUCCAGGCCCAGAAUAUAGAGAGAGCCAGGGAGAAUUCAACUACUGCAUUAAAACCUGAGCCUCAAGGCUCAACAUUGAUGAAACAUAACCUUAUUCUUUUUUAUCAUCUUUCAUGUUUUCAUGGGGAGGCCGAGGUCCUCUGCAUGUCACUCAGUUUGCCCCCUUUGUUCUAUAACAAAGUUAAAGAAGUAUCGGGGUGUGUGUUGUUGUCAUUGUCAUUGUUUUUCUAUUCUUAAAGAUCCCCUAGAAAGCUGAUGGCAAACGGUUUCUCUUGGUUUCCUUUCUAAUGUUUAAUCAUCAUUUAUUCUUUUUCUCAAACUGCAAUCACAGUUUGCUUGGCUAAAAUUCUCCUGCCACCAGUGUGGCCUGGUCCAGAGGCAAUGACACAAAAGAACCUUGUUUCCAAAGUUAUUUAUUAAAUGUAAAUUCUUUCCUUAGAUACUGUACCAAAUUUGUACAUAGCAUUCCUAUCCCUGGUGAACUUUCUCUGGCUUUCUCUGCCUACCAUUUGUCAUCAAUUACCUUUUCAAAAACAUUUUGCAUUAUUAAUUCCUGUUACAUUCAUUCAGCAAAUAUUUAUUGAGUGCCUUUUGAAGUCCUUUGCUAAGUAUUCAAAAGGAAAAGCGGGUAUAUAGGACACAGAUGAAUUUAAACCCAGUCUUCAUGCAAUUGGUAGCAUUUCUGCAAAGAGUAAUCUCAUUGCCUACAUGGUGUGCAGCAUGAAGUACGAUUUGCUACAAACUUACUCAACCACUUACUUUUUGGCUGAUCAUCCUGAGGGACAUUCUUGAAGUCAAAGCUUUCCAACUGGUGAGCAAAAAACAGGUUAACACACAGGUCAAGAUGUUCAUGCUGUCAAGAUGUUCACCAGAUAAUUUCCACGUCAGAACAUGUCCAGUAGAUGCCAACAAACUUGGUUACUUACAGAAGAAAGAUGCCCCCUUGCUCCCCACAGAGCAUCUCUAGAUAACAGGGAGCUGGGUGAUACCUUUUUCUGUUUUGCUAAUGUAUUUUUGAAGACCACAUUUUCUUGGAUUGUGAGGGGUUCCUAGGGCACCAUGUUAAGAAGAGAGAUUUUCAGAGUACUAGGUAACUUCAGAGUUUUAUACUGGCUUUUACCCCUGGAAAGUACUAAUUGACUAGUGAUGAUUCUUAAGAAGCAGGCAAGAGCAUCUGCUGCUACUGCUAAGUUGUAGAUGUAAGGCUUAGAAUCAGAGAUCAUGAAUUAAUAACUGGUUUGCACCAGUAGGGGGUUUCUUUGGUGGCUCAGACAGUAAAGAAUCCGUCUGCAAUGCAUGAGAUACAGGUUCAAUCCUUGGGUCGGGAAGAUCCCCUGGAGAAGGAAAUGGCUACCCACUCCAGUAUUCUUGCUUGGAAAACCCCAUCAACAAAGGAGCCUGUUGGGCUACAGUUCAUGGUGUCACAAAGUGUCAGACAUGACUGAGCAACUAACCCACACUUUUUGCGCCAGUAGGAUUUUGCAAGUAUCUCAGGCGUUAGCAAACCAAUUUAAAAUAUAUUUAUAUUUGAAAAAAUCUUGGCUGGUGAGGUAAUAGACAUGACUAGACCAGGACUUCUAGUUAAAUGUAAAAAUACAUUUCCAUUUUUUAAUUAAUUGCUUGCAGUCACAUAUAAGGAAAUCUUCUGUGAGUGAAUCUUUUGGAGAAAUUGAGUUGCUUUAUAUAUUAAUGCUAAGGGUUCAGUUGAUUUUAUUUUUUAUUUAAAAGGAAAAUAAAAAUGGAUAGCAGUGCUUUGUGAAAUGGAGAAUUCUCCAGUGUGCGUGGUACUUACCUAAUAGCUGGAUCUGCAUAAAGAGUGGCUCUAACUGCUCCCACUCUCUUGCAAGUUGCUCUUCACUUGUCUAAACUUGAGACGGAGAUGAAAUUAAGCAGAACCUCCUCAAUUUGACAGUUUGAGUUUUAACACGUGACAGAAUAGGAAUUUUGGUCAAAGGGCCGGAGCCAGGAAAUAACUGCCUUAUUUAUAGGUAUUGUUCCACAGCAGAGGCCUUGGUUAUUUAAACCCAAUUUAUCCACACACACCCCACCCCAAGUAUCUAAUUGUGCAGUUAUUUAGAUCUGUACUGACACACUCAUCAUGUAUUGCCUUGGGGACCGAAACUGUAUAUAAACUACUAGAGAAUGGAUAACGAGUUUACUCGAACUGAUAUACUUGGCUUAAAGCUAAGAAACAAAAGAAUAGCAGUGUUUCCCAGGUUUAUUCCAAGGUGGUGGAUGGUGGGUUUGGCCAAGUCAUCUUAAACUUCUCUGGGAUUCAAUUUCCUCAUCCAUCACUGGAGACAUAAAUACACAGUUCACUGGACAGUUGUGAGUAUUGACAGCACCUAGCACAGUGCUGGGCAGGAGGCCAGUCAAUAAGUAUUCGUUGGAUGUGAAAUGCAUGGGAGUGGAUGAGGCAUUCUUAAGUAAACAAUUAAGAGGUUGAAGAAGUAAAAAGCAACCAUUGGUGUCCCCUGUGUACUUUUGCCCACUCGGUAAUUUAAAACCUGCUUUUCAGUGAAGCAUGGUAUACUUUCUAAUGUCUCAUACCAGGUCCCCUUUUCUUAGUGUGAGCUGUUUGUCCCUUAUAGGUUUUGCAUUUAACACUCUUGUUAUAACGGCUUCUUCUAUGGCAAUCUAUGUUACCUCAAAUUUAAGUCUCUCCCCCCCCCGCCCCUUUUUAAGGUGUUUUCCCCAAAGUAACACAUUUUAGAAGCAAAACAAAAAAUACUCAUUUUGCACUCAGUAAUUUGAUAGCUUGCAAGCUUUCCAACAGCACUGGUGGGAGGGACUGGACUAGUAAAUUCAUGGAUAAAAUUCCCUCGUUUUGUGGACAGUAAGUAGAACAUCUCCCUGGCUUUAGUUCAUAACAGUGGUCUUCCAGGUGUCUUGAUGUGUUAGGGUCCCUAAGGUAUUUUGUCGCCAAGGUUAUCCUCAGAUCCCACCCUCUUUGUCCCACUCUUACUCAUUACAUCCUGCCCCAGUGGAAUAUGACAUUUAAUCUUAUAUUGCUCCUAUGAUGUGGACAGGAUGUGUCCUGUGGACUAAUGUGCCCCGACAAGAGUUUGCUCCUGGCUAAGGCUAGUGGGGACCAAAUGGUGCUAGUUUGAUGGGGAAGCAGGGAAGCUGUAUUAGUCAGCUCAGGCUGCUAUGACAAAAUAGCACAGACUGGGUGGUUAAAUGGGCUUACCAGGUGGUGCUAGUGGUAAAGAACCUGCCUGCUAAUGCAAGAGACAUAAGAGAUGCACGUUGGAUCCCUGGGUCAACAAGAUCUCCUGGAGGAGGGCAUGGCAAUCCACUCCAGCAUUCUUAACUGGAGAAGCCCAUGGACAGAGGAGCCUGGUGGGCUAUAGCCCUUGGGACCGCAAGGAGUUGGACAUAAGUGAAGUGACUUAGUAUGUAUACACAGGUGGUUAAGUAUCAGGUGUUUAUUUCUCAGAAUUCUGGAGACUGGGGAGUCCAAGAUUGAAGUGUCAGGAAAUUCAGUAUCUGGUGAGGGCUCUCUAUCCAGGUUGUAGAUAGGUCUCUUCUCACUGUGUCCUCACUUGACAGAGAGACAGCAAUCCCUCCCUCUUUUUAUAAAGGCACUAAUUCCAUCAUGGAAGCCCCACCCUCAUGACCUCAUCUUACCCUAGUUACCUCCCCAAGGCCCCAUCUCUAAUAUCAUCACAUUGAGGGUUAGGGUUUCAACAUAUGGAUUUGGGGAUGGGGGCACAAUUCGCUCCACAGAAGUGGCUUUAUCAAGACAUAGAUCAAGUGACUCUGUAUUUCUGACUUAUUUUCAUUGAUCUUGAGAUAUCAUCUAUUGUAAGAUACAUCAUUAAGAAAGAAAAAAAUCUUUUAAAAUCAUAACAGUGUUUUCUUGGCAUUGAAACAUUUUAUACUACAUUUAUGGAAAGAAUUCUUUUAGACUUUGAUGCUGGCAAAGGUUGAAGGUAAAAAGGAAACAGGGGUGGCAGAGGAUGAGAUGGUUAGAUAGCAUCACUGACUCAAUGGACAUGAAUCUGAGCAAACUCCAGGAGAUAGUGAAGGAUAGGGGAGCCUGACUUACUGCAAUCUAUGGGUCACAAAGAGUCAGACAUGACUUAGGGACUGAACAACAACAAAACUGGCUUAUUUUGACCAAUUUUUUAAAAGAAAAUCAUGUCUUCCGCCUGUGCAUACAUAAAAUGAAAAAUGUGGCAAGGCAACUGUUUAAGAUUCCAGCUUUCCUAAAUCACGUUUCAAUCAGAAUUGUCAUGUGUACACUUUUCCACACCAUGCUAUCCUGCUCUGUGCCAGGAGAUAGCAUUUCUUUUUAGGGGGCAUCUCUACUGUCUCUGAGUCCCUACCAAAAGAUAACAACCAGAACUAUAUUUCUUCCUCUAAUGAUCCUACCUGGGAAUGCAGGUAUACCCACCAAGUGACUACACUUGUGAGUGAGCUAAUUCUUUAGCCCUUCUAACACACGUCCACAAUUGUGUUCAGAAGCAACAUUCUUGGUGGCUUCCACUGAUCUCCUAGAUAUCUGCCCAGACCACUUUCCUCUAGUCCCACCUGAACCCAAAGAGGAUCUCCCCCUGGCCUGGGGGAGCUCUUCCUCCCUUUUCAUUCCUUUGAGAAGCAUGUGACUUCUCUUCCCUGGAUGUGGGGGGCUGAUUUCACAUAAUGCCUAGAGCUCAAAAGAAGUGAAAAAAGUACGAACUUCUGUGACCAAGAAGGUUCAUGGGUGGGCAAUGACAGUUAUAUCAGGACCGCCUCCCAGGCAGCAAGAAUAAGAUAACUCCCAGUGUCAGCCUGGUUAAACUGGAAAGCACUUACCCUGAGAACUCAUGAAAUAGAGUGCAUCUCCCACCCUACAGGGAUGCCUAAAAUCUCAGCAUUAGAGAAUGAUUUAAUUGUCUGUUAAGGCAUCAAGAGUGUUUUAGUAGAAAUGAAUGACUCUAGAGAGAGCAAUGUGUAGUUGCUGUAUUUACUGCUUUGGCAUGCAUUUCAUCCCCAUUAAGAUGAAGUAAGAGCAAGAGCCUGUGAAGAUGGGACAAGGAAUGGGAUGGGGAUGAGGAUACAGGAAUGGAAAGAAAGCAGGAAAAGAGCAGAGAAAAGAAGCUCAACUUUCAGUCAAUGAAAUUUAUCAAAUCCUUGGUGUGAACCAGGCAUCACCCUACAUCCUGACACUAAAGUGCCUACACGUAAGGACCUACCUACCCUUCUAGUGUAGGAGACAGGCAUCAGCGACAUAGCAGGCCAACAAGUGUGAAAGUCUUCCCAGAAUAAAAGCAUAGAGUAUAGUUAUAUGUUCCCAUGAGAUUGUACUGGAAGGAUUCAGAUAAUCAAGGAAAGUCAGAGAAAGCAUCCCCAAGAAAGGGAUACUUCAACCCAGAGGCACUAGGACAGGAUGUGAGUCAGUGUUUGGAGGGGUAGGAGAUGGCCAGACUAUAUCUGAGAGUUUUCAGCAGUCAGGAAGAUUGCAUUGACAGCAUCCUGGAGACUCAGUUGGGGAGCUUCAGAGUGAAUGUGAGUGAGCCUAAGAAAGGGGUCCAGGGAAAGAUGAUGGCUCAAUGUACUAGUAUCACGGAGGUAAAGAGAAAGCAAGGUGGAUGGCUUUUAGUUAUAUUUCAGAGGUGAAAUAGAUAGGUAUUGGUAAUGAGUGGGACAUGAGCAAUGAUGAGGGGUCAGGAAAUGUCAUGACAAACUCUCAGGAAUCUGGUCCAUAAAACUAGAGGAAUAAGUGUUGUCAUUAAUGAUGUAGAGAGCAGUGAAAGUUGACCUGAUUUGAGGGUAGAGAGAGGAAUCAUUUGUAGUCUGAUGAAGUGGAAAAUGAGUCUAGCUCAUCCAUUUACUAGCGUUGUGAUCCUAAGUUUCUCUGAACCUCAGUUCUUCCAUCUUUAAAAAUGAAGCCAUAAACAUUCACCUCACAGUGCUGCUGGGACAAUCAACAUAACUUCAUACGUGCUUGAAGUUCCUUCCUACAUGAGUUACUAUGAUCACUCCAAAACUGAGCAGCAGUGAAGCCUAGAGGCAGAGUGGCUAUUUUCAAGAACUUUCUAGGAGGUGGGGUGGUGUGUAGGAGUUUUGACAGCUGAGAUCUCAACACUCUGUAAGUUUACCCUAGUGGAGUUUCUCCUUGUUGAUAAUGUACAGGGCAGCUAUUAGCUUCAUUUGUCUGGUGAAUUCCUUCUAUUUUGUUCCCACCCCCUCUCCUCCUCUCUCUCAGCCUGGAUCAAGGGAACCCAUAGAGGAAGAAGGUACAUUGCUUUUCUCAGCUGAGAUCCCUUAUCGCUUGUAAAGAGGACUAGAGGAUUUAGGAAAAUGUAACCCGAGAGUUUGCACUAACAGAUGAGCACAGUCGAUUAGCUUCACACUCCCUGUAGGCUUCGGGUGAAGACUUUCCCAUUCUGUUUUCCUAGCGUCAAUUUAGCGAGGGCAUUUUAUACGACAUAUGUAAUUCCUAUGCCCUUGAGUGACCUCAGCACAUUCCUUUCUGGCUUCCAAAUAGCCCCUCAUUAAAGGGAGCCAUUAGGCAGUGAAAGCUGCAGCCAGUGGUUGAGGAACACACUGGAGUGGGCAGGUGAAGGGGCAGAGGGGGUUAAGCUCUCUGGAAUCCAGGUAUUAACUUUCUUCUCUGCAGGUGUUUUGACCUUGCAGGAUCCUAACUACUAAACAUUUCCCCCAUUGCCUGGCUCCGUUUCUUUCCCUCGUUCUUGCCACACUGUUGUCUUUUUUAUAACCAUGUUUAUUUCUCACUGAAUUAUCAGAGAGAUUAUUUCCCAUCCAGACCCCAUUCAGUUAUUUUUCCUUGCAGGAAACACUUAUUUCCAUAUAGAAAAAUGGGUGGGAGAGGGUGGGAGGCAUUUUAUUUCAUUGUUUCACUUGUUUGGGGUGGAAGAAGGUGACACAUUUGUAUGAAUUUCUGGAUAACGAAAUUAAUUUACGAAUAGCUUCCCAGAGUACUGGAGUGGGGUGCCAGUGCCUUCUCUGAUAUUUCACAUAUAUAACACAGUUUCACAAUAUGUAACACUAGUUAUUCCAGUGAAAUGUGAAUAUUGUUAUAUGCCAACAUAUAUUUAUUUUUUUAUCAUAAAGUUAAUUUUUAUUGCUGCUUUCAAGACCUAUUCAGUCUUCAUAUAGUUCCUGUAGAAUAUUUCCACAUAUUACCAUUAGUACAGCCAGCUCUUGUUUUAUGUAUUAUAAUCACUAUGGAUGAUAAAGCAACACUGUGGGUAUCUAUGUACGUAUCUGUGUGCCAGGGAAGCCCUGUAUGUUUAUUACAUAUAUACAAGCUACAUCCCCUUUGAAAGUUUCUCCCUAUUGAGAACAAUAAGUAGGCAUUGUUGACUGAUUUUUUUAAGUCGGAUGAAAUAUAUAAGAAAAGAAAAUGUCACGUUUUUUAAGACCAAGUAUAAUGAUUUAGAAGUUACCAAAGAGGUCAGGGGUAAAAAGAAAACAAAAAAUAGUAAAGAAAGAAAAGAAAAGCAGGAAAUGAGAGAGGAAGGGAAGUCUCAAAGCAGCAAAAAUCUACUCUCCCUUCGCCAAUCAAGCCUGCCCUCCAUCUAUAAACAAAAGCCUAGCAAACAAGCAGGUGAAGGACAAAGGGAUCAGGAGAAAAGACUUCCCUGGUGGUCCAGUGAUUAAGACUCUAUGUUUCCAAUAUAAGGGGCAUGGGUUUGAUCCCUGGUCAGGGAACUAAGAUCCCACAUGCCAUGCAGCACAGUGGAGAAAGCUGUUUUUUGUUUGUUUGUUUGUUUGUUUUUUAAUCUAGUUAAAGAAAAGAGGCAAGCUAAAAAUUGCUAGAAAAUACUGGGGACCAAAGAAAGAGAACACAAGAAAGGGUGAGAAUGAAACUUCAGGGUGAAUGCUUGUACAGCUAAAGCAAAUGGGCAGAAAAAGCCAACUAAAGAAAGUAAGAAAUAGGGAGGUAAUGUUAAAAAUCAAAAAAUAUGAAACGAGACAAAAAUGGUCAUGGUGCUUGAGCUGGUGGGGCUGAGAAGACAUUGUUUUCUAGGUGUCUUGCUGGGAAAGAGGAUAAGAUGGCCCAGAAAUGAAAGCAGGCAGGAGUGGUGGAAGACAGCAAGCAUCAGGUGAAAGGGCCGCAUGACAAGACAGUCAGCCAAGGGGUACGUCCCAGACACUGGCUGCAGAAUAAUGUCCUGGAGAGGUUCGUCUCCACUGCAACCGAGCCCUGGAGGUGGCAGGACUUGUCUGUUGUUGUUUAGUCACUCAGUUGUGUCCAACUCUUUGAGACCUCACGGGUUGUGGCCCGCCAGGCUUCUCUGUCCGUGGGAUUCUCCAGGCAAGAAUACUGAAGUGUGUUGCCAUGCCCUCCUCCAGGGGAUCUUCCCGACCCAGGGAUCUAACCCACAUCUCCUGAUGGACUGAGCCUGAUGUCCAUGGGGUGUCAGACACGACUGAGUGACUAACCCUUUCACUUUCAGCAGGAAUUCUAGCUUCUUAGCUGUGAUGUGCUUCAGAGGAGGAUGCCUAUUUCUGAUUUAGGAAAUCAUUAUUCUAGGGCAGUGAACAAUGGUGGCCUAAAGAGUUAAUCCUCCAAAUAUUUUUCACAUUCCCAGGAAUCAUUUAUUGAGCCAAAAGUACCUGGCUUAAUAUUUAUUGAACACUUUGUUUCUGAAGGGGAAUGGGAGGGAGAAGAGUGUCAUAUUUGAAUCUAUUUCCACCAUCAAGCUUUACCCAAGUAUCCAGUGCUUGACUCUCUAACUGCCAGGCUUAGAGCCUACCCAUGAAAUUCCAAAUCCCGUCUCUUGUGGGUUUGGACUCGCUCGUUUAUUUUUACUGUGCUUCGCUCAUAAUAACUUAUGUUUGUAAUUCAGCAACCUGAGGAAUUGUUUUUAUGGCACGUUUGGAUCUUGCAGUCACUCACACGUUUCAAGGUCCAUUGCAGGAAAUGAGUUUGACACAGCAUGUUAACAGUGAAUUAUUCAUUCUUACCUGCAGCAUUCAGAGCAACCCGGGAAGGCUUCCCAGUUGUUGAGUCAAAGUUAUGUACCCGUAGUGCAAACUCCAGUGGACAGUUGUAAAGAUGGCAAACCUUACUUUGAUACAAUGCCACAGCACCUCCAUUAGUGCCCUGGUUAAAAUGCAAACAUCUGGUUGCUUUUAUGGCCCAUGUGUUCCUUAAGACGGUCUAUUUCUUGAUGACGUCAGUCAUUGGAAUCAAAUGACUAUUUUUAAAGACUCUUUUAGUGUUUCUCUGAAAUGAUCACUUCUUACAUUUGUUUAAUAGAUCAUGAGCCCUUCAGGUACACAAAAAUUGUAGAGAUCACAUCUUCUACUCUCCUGACUGUUUGCAAGGAUGACAUUGUGACUCAAGGAUCCUGGGGUGCUGUGGAAUGUGUUGACUUCUGGGGUUGUGCGCACCGUAGAUUUUCAUUAGCAUGUCAUGUCAAAAGGAACCUCACGCUUCUAUUUACUGAGUGUGGGGCAGCUAAGCUGCUGGUUUGUGCUCACCAACCAUGGCUUUGUGGAUUUGCCUAGUUAAGUUUGUUCUGCGAGUGUUUGCUAUUUCCUCCCCUGCAUACUUAUUUUACCUGGCUGUGUGCCAGGCAAUCUACUUGCCCUCCAUACUGUGCUCGUGUCCAGUGCAGAUAAGCUUCAGGCUGACAAGGACCGUCACCUAAAUUCCAAUGAACUGCUGUAUGCAGGGCCUUUUGGGGGAGGAAUAAUUUUAUCUUUACUUUUAAUGGCAAGUGAAGGUUUGAAGCCAAUGAGACUGCUCAAGAAAAUGAGAGUCAUGAAACAAAGGCUCUACCAAUGGGAUAAGUAGAAUCCAUCACUGAUGAUUUCAUAUUUGAAAAAAGAUUGGCAAAAGAUACAACAAAUAAUAAAAUGGAUCUCCUUAACCCACUGAUUGGAAAGGCUUGGAAGGACAUGUCUGAACAUACUGGAUCCUAUAACUUGUAGAAUGUUACAAACUAGGCCAGCUAGAUGAGAACUGUCAAAGCAUUAAAUAAAAUAUGGCUCUUAAUCAUAUCCUAGGAUUGCGUGGAGACAGGAACCUUCCAUGGAAGUCCCAAGAGAGAAUAUUAGAAGAUGAUAAUUUAAGGAUUAUGAAAGUUCCUGAAAUUUGCCAAAAGAAUUAAGACAGGCCUAAUUGGGAACUCCCAGGAACCAGACAGAGCAAAUGAAAUAUUAGGUUGUAAUGAUUUCUUUCCAUUUCACAUCUAUUUGUUUCUUAUUCUCUCUGGGUUCCAAAUAUUGAAUUUAUGAAAGUGGAAGGGAAGAAAUGAGUGUGCACUAAAGGGAAGCAACUAGGGGUGAGGAAAAACAACCCCUUGCCUCACAACACACAGAGUCGGACAUGACUGAAGUGACUUAGCAGCCGCAGCAGCCUCACAACUGGGGAGACAGGAAGAAUGAAGAAAUUUGAGGCCAUUGCAUGGAGUAAAUGGAAUAACUACAAUGUAGUGUUGAGGAAAAAGAAUAUAGUGUUCUAUAAGUCACAAAUGGAAGGACAUGAGAAGGGAGAUUAAUUACAAUUCAAAUUAAUUUCAUUUAAUUAGUUGAAAAGAUCAGAUGAAUGGUCUUCAAACCUUUUCAAUAUUUCUGAGUAUUCCUUUCCUCUCUCCCUCUCUUCCACACCGCCCCCCAACACACACAGAUGUGCACAUGAUGCAAAUUACCCACUGUAAAUAAACCAAAAUGAAACUAAUACAUAUGUGUUAUUUCCCAUCUCAGCUAAGGAAAGAUACAGAAAAGAAGAACCUGCUUUGAAGAACAUCACUAGCUGUUAAUGCCCUGUUAGGAAGUGCACUAUGGCAUUGAGGUUAGGAAAACAAGCCUAUGAGCCAUGCAGAUCUGCAGUAGAGUCUCUGUCAUGCCACUUCCUAGCUGAACUGCCUACUCCUAACUCUUCAUUCCUUGACCUUGGUUUCUUUUACCACCUAUUUGCCAGGGUCAUUUGCUAAGAGCAAAUUAGAUGUAUGUGCAGUGUCCUUCACAGAGUAAGUGUUCAGUCAGUACUGGCUAAGUAUCAUACCCACUAUAUUCCUUGAGAGUGAUGGCCUGAUGUUUGAUAAACGUGAACUAUGGAAUCGUCACUCUGAAAGACCGAUCUUGUAAAACACACUGCCUCUAGGGAAGAGGAUGCCUGCUAACAAGCUUUUGACUUUGUUGGUUAGUACUGCUUUUACUUCAAAGCACUCAGAAUUGUUUAGACUUCCUUCAGAGGUGCAUGGGGUUGCAGAGAGUCAGACAGAACUUGGUGAAUGAACAACAACACAGAGGUUCAUGGACUUAGGCAGGAUCUAGAAUCUCUCAGUUAAUAUAACUAAUGAAAAGGAUUAAUAGCAUGUUGAGACAGUGACCUGUCAGAGUUGAAGAUGAACAUUUGUUUUUGAUCACCCUGUAUAUUCAGUUCACAACGAACAACUUUAUUCCUUUAAAGAAUCUUUCUGAAACUAGAUCAGCCUUAAGCUUUGCAUGCAAAACAUUACUCAAUAAAUUUGAAUUAAUGCUACUAAUAUAUUCAGUUAUUGCCAACAACUGUUAUAACAUAAGUUGACUCAAAACAAGUUUUUAAGAAUUUUGCCUGGUGACCAAUUAUUCUGUGAAAUAUUUGAACAUAUUAAAAUCAAAAUUAAAAUUUGUUUGGAAGGUGUUAUUUUACCCAGCCUAGUUUUGUAUUCCCUCCUGGAUCAGAAACAGAUUAGCCCUUUAGAAAUUUGUUAAUAUGUGUCCUGAAGACACACUUCAAGAGGGCAAAAACCCUACCCAACAACAAAAUCCUAUUCCUAUAAAUAUGCAAAGAUGUCAGCAAUAUUGAAUGAAAGAAAUGAAUAUGUGUAGCCAUUUCCUUUUCUUAUCAUUUUCAAGGAAACGUUCUUUUGAUGGGAAACAAAACUAUGUUGAAGUGUUCCUAAGAUUUUUUAUAAUUGUAUAUUUCCAAAAGACUUCACUGCUGAAGUCUACGUAUCAUAAAUGCUUAAUUUCAGUUUUUCCUCCUCUUAAAUGACAAGGCAUAGAUGAAUGAUUUAUUUGCUUGUUUUACUAAAAGGUGGAUUACAAAGCUUAUAUCCCUCUCUAGUAUUUUAUAACAAAGAACACUGAGGAAAACACGUAGAAUUUCCUGUCCUUCAAAUGAUCUGUAUGAAAACUAAAGAGCUCAAAUCUUCCUUGCUAAGUGAUCUUAGAUCCUCAAGUAUAGACAUUGUAUUUUCCUUUACACAUAUCUGAUCUUUAAAGAGUGCUUAUGUGUCAUAAUACCUUUCUGUGGACAUGUCAGUUGCUCUCAAUCUUACAGAAUAACAGACAAAGCAGAACAACCCGAAAGCUCCACUUCAAAGAGCUUAAGACAUCCCUACCUUAAUGCCGGAAUUUGGAUCGCCUGGUAAGACUGCAUUGUUUGACUUCUUAACGAGAAAAAUUGGAAAAAAAAAGCAAAAGCUGGGGCCUGCCUGCUUUAUUGUUCCAUGAGUGACCUUUCUAAAAGAAGGUGCUUUUAUCACAGGGCACCUUUGUUUAAACACAAGUCACCCCAGACACUUUUUCAAGCUCCAUUUUGUAGGUAAUGAUUUUUUUAAACAAUUUUCAAGAUGGCACCUAUGAAAUUCAUUUUCCCCACAUGCAUAUGGAAAUAAUGUCCAUUGUAAAAUUAUUUGAAGUCAAUGGAGUAACACCAAAGAUGUGAUUUCGUUGGUUGUUGAUGUUUUUUCUAUAAUUUCUUCCAAUCCUUCAUGUUCAGGAAAAUGUGCUGGAUACUUAAGGAUAGUCAGAAUGUUUUUGAGAAUCCAGCAUCUUCUACAGCAUUAAAGUGCACCCUUUAGUGGAGGAUGAUGCCACUAUAAUAUAAAAUACAAACCAGUCAUUUGUCCAACAACCACUUAUUAGGUACAUAUUUAUUAGGCUUUGGAGACACACGUUUCCUGCCCUCAAGGAAAUUACAGUUUGAUAAAGAAUUUUAAAUAGGUGCUAAGUAGAAGCACAAACAGAACAUUUUCAUUAGAAACAUAAUGUACAUAUAGCAUGUGUGAAGAAAGCUAUGAUCUGUUGAAUGUCAGAAAUAACAACUCAGGCUUAUGCUGAUGUCAAUAUUGACCUCAUAAAGACUGUGUAAUUGACAGAAAAGGACUGAAACUGUUGUGUUAGUGGUUUUUUUUUUUUAACCUAUAUGCAAGCUAUGGAUUCCGUUUCCAUUGUCUCCUUGAAAUGUAGUUUGGAAGUAGUUGUACCUGUGCUCAAGCUUUAGUGAGCUUCAGCAUCUCCAAGCUAGAGCUGAUGAAGACGCAGAUGGUUGGGCUCUUGUUACAGCAGUUUUGGUUCUACUGGUCUUGGGUGGGACCUGGGGGUCUGCAUUCCUAACAAGUGUGCAGGUGAUGCUGCUGCUGCUGGUCCAAAGACCCUAUUUUGAAUAGAACCAGUUUAAGAUACGAACACACACUUGCAAUGCCUCCUAGAUCCUGAGAGUGAAAAAUGUAGGGAACAUGCACUUCUGGUCUUGGCCAGUGCAUCCUUCUCUGGACCCUUCAGGACCUCAAAACCUGUCUGGUAAGACUUUGAAAAUGUAAGUCACUCAGUUGUGUCUGACUCUUUGGUACCCUUUGAACUGUAGCCCCCCAGGCUUCUAUGUCCAUGAUAUUUUUCAGGCAAGAAUACUGGAAUGGGUUGCCAUUUCAUUUUCCAGGGAUCGAAUCUUCCCGACCCAGGGAUCAAACCUGCGUCUUCUGCAUUUCAGGAGGGUUCUUUACCUGCUAAGCCAUCAGGGAAGCCCAUAACCUCUGGGAGCCUGAUGAAAAGGGUUUGUUUGCUGUGGCCACAGAGCAUUCGAGUUUCCGGUUUAAACACACAACCACUCAGGAGAAUUAUUAACCUUUCUUAGCAUGUUGGCCCUUCGCUGUCCCUGAUUACUUCCCCAAUGCUUUGAGUCAAUGUCACAUUUUGAGUGGAGAGACCAUACAAGACCUCAUUGAGUGAGGCUCUGGCAAGGACAGAUGGUUGAAUGGGAGCUCACAUCCCCAAGAAAAUCAUGUCUUUUCCUUUGUAGUGAGAGAUACCCAUCUUUGGCCAUUUCCAUUUGUGAUUGUACUGGUGCAGUGUGAUAGGAAGAGAGCAUUAAGUGGUAAGAUGGAAGUGAUGUCUUGUCCUGGCUUAGGCUGCCCCGACCUUCUAUAACUUGUGACCUUUUGGGGCCAUUUUAGUUCUCUAGUCUUGAGUUCCUAGGUCUAUAAAAUGAGAAUGCAAGAUGGCAGGGAAUUUUUAAAGGGCCUUUACCAUGUCAUCACUUGUUACUGAGAAUUUUUUAAAUAAUAUUGAAAAGCUUACUUUGAAACAUGCUCAAGGGUUAGUUAUUCAGUUGUGUCUGACUCUUUGUGACCCUAUGGACUGCAGCAUGCCAGGCUCCUCUGUCCAUGGAAUUCUCAAGGCAAGAAUACUGGAGUGGGUUGCCAUUUCCUUCUCCAAGGAAGCUUCCUGACCCAGGGAUUGAACCUGAAUCUCCUGUGUCUCCUGCAUUGCGGGAGGAUUCUUUACCUGCUGAGCCAUUGGGGAAGCCCAUAAUCUCCUGGAGCCUCUGGGGAUCUUCCCAACCCAGGGAUCAAACCCAGAUCUCCUGUAUUACAGACAGGUUCUUUACUAUUUGAGCUACCAGCUGUUUCUUAAACAUGCUCAAAGAGAAUUUUAAAUAAGUGAUAGCAUGAAAUUACUACAUAGCUCAGAAAUUGCACUCUUGAACAUUUAUCCCAGAGAAAUGGAAUGUUCAAAUAAAAACCUAUACACAAACAUUCAUAGAAACCUUAUUCAUGUUAGCCUAAACCUGGGGAGAACCCAAGUGUCCUUCAACAGGAAGAGAGUUAAAGAAACUAUGGUACUUCUAUACCAAGGAACACUAUACAGCCAUAAAAAGGAAUGGAUUACUGAUAUAUUCAACAGCCUGGAUGAAUCUCCAGGGAAUUAUUAUGAGUCAAGUAAAAGCCAAUCCCUAAAGGUUAUAUGCUAUAUGAUUCUAUUUAUAUAUGCUCCUUAAAGGAAAAAAUUUUAGAAAUGAAGAGCAGAUUAAUGGUUGCAAAGCAGUUAGGGGUGGAAGGCAGGGAGGGAGGCAGAUGUAGUUACAAAAGGGUAGCACAGGUAAUCCUUGUGGCAAUGGUGCUAUUCUGUAUCUUGAUCCUGGCAGCAAAUAUACAUAUCUGCACAUGUGAUAAAAUUGUAUAGAACUAAAUAUGCACACACAUUAAUACAAGUAAAACUGGGGAAAUCUGAGUAAGAUCAGUAGAUUAUAUAAAUGUCAAUAUCCUCUUUGUAAUAUUAUACUGCUGUUUUACAAACUAUUACCAUAAGGCAAAUGGUACAUGGAGUUUCUUUGUGUUAUUUCUUACAGUUGCAUGUGAAUUUAUAUUUAUGUCAGUGAAAAUAUCAAGUAAAAAAAGGUUAAAAAAAUUUUAAAAAAAAAAGGUUUUUUUUUUAAAAAAAAACACAGUGUACUCAGUAUUCUCUAAUAACCUAUAAGGAGAAAGAAUCUAGAAAAGAGUGGAUAUGUAUAUGUAUAACUGAUUCACUUUGCUACAUACGUGAAACUAACAGAUGUAAAUCAGCUAUACCCCAAUAAAAUAAAUAAAUAAAUUAUAAAUCCCAACUUUGGAUUUUAAAAAAGCCUAAAGAAAUAAUUUUUUUAAAGCCAUACAUAAUGACAUUAUUUUUUGAGCCACUCUAGAAACCCAAAAUUGGCAUUAUUAUGAUGUAAAAUGCCUAGUUACACUUAGUAGUUUUCACCAUCUGGUUGUCAACAGAUCUAUUCUAUUGGGUUGGUCAAAAAGUCAUUCAGGUUUUCCAUUAAGAUACAAUGGAAAAACUCAAAUGAACUUUUUGGCCAACCAAUACUUUUGUAAACUUUCUAGAAGUAAACUAUGGAAAGUACAUGAAAAAAUCAAGUAUGAUCCUCCAGCAGGUAUUGGUAAAUUAUGGCCUGCAGGCUAAAUCCUGGUCUCCACUUGUUUUUGUAUGGCCCACCAGCUAAGAAUGGCUUUGGUGUAUGUGCCUGCUCAGUUGCUUCAGUCAUGUCCAACUCUUUGCAACCCUGUGGACUGUAGCCCACCAGGUUCCUCUGCCCGUGGGAUUCUCCAGGCAAGAAUACUGAAGUGGGCUGCCAUUUCCUUCUUCCUGACCCAGGGAUCAAACCUGCACCUCUUACACUGGCAGGCAGAUUGUUUACCACAGAGCCACCUAGGAAGUCCCCAGCCUACAAUAGGACUCCACAAAUGCCACUUCCAGGAUGGGAGGCCACCACUUGCUAUUUCCUGUCUGGGUUCUCCAUCCAUCACCUCCUUCAGUCUAACCCCACAGUCUCCAAAGAGGUCUCAGAAUCCUUAUUCAAACAUCACUCUGGCCCAUUUUUGCAGCAUUCUCCACAAGUGUCUAUGGAGUGUCUUUUUUCAGAACUAGACCGUCUCCCUAUUGCCCAGACCCCUCCACAAAGAGACCCAAGUGUAAGCUCUAACACAAUGGAAUUUCAAUCAAAUCUAUUUUUCAAUUAUAGGAUGGAAUAUGUCUUCAGUGCUAGGGGAAACCUGCAGAUUGAUGAUAUCCCAGUAGGCUCAGCACUAGUCUCCAGGAAUAGGCCAAUUCAGAUUUUUAAAAAUGUUUCCAGGCCUUCAGGUUAUUGAGACAACCUUCUCACUGCAAUUGUGCAGUCUGAAGGGAAGCAUACAGGGAGACUGGCAUCUCCAGUUGAUCACAGGUGAGCAUUCAAUUUACAGUGCCCUUGCUUGUGAUUAACUCUGCAUUGGUUCAAGGGGACUCAGGCAUACUUCCCACAUGACUUCUCCUAGGGCAAAUUAGGGUGGCGACUGAGAGGCAGGUAUUUUUUGCCACACAUACUGGAAAGGACAUAAAAUCCAGCCUCAGAUGUCCUCCCGACUCUGGUCCAGUCCAGUCAGAGGGGGACUGUAAUGGCUUAACUUGCUAGUGGAGACAGGAAUACCUGAUCAUUACUUUGACCUCUCAUAGAGACACUCAGGGAGGAGAUUUUUCUUUUUUUAAUUUAUUUAUUUUAAUAUUUUUUGGCUGUGCUGGGUUUUCAUUGCUGCACGGGCUUUUCUCUAGUUGCAUUGGCUGGAGGCUACCCUCUAGUUGUGGUGAUCAGGCUUCUCAUUGCAGUGGCUUCUCCUGUUGCAGAGCACAUUCAGCUACUAAGGACUUCAGUAAUUGUAGCACCUGGGCUCAGUAGUUGCAGCUUGUGAGCUUCGUUGCUCCGCAGCAUGUGGGAUCCUCCCAGACCAGGGAGGAACUCAUGUUCUCCUGCACUGGCAGGUGGACUUUUCACCACUGACUCACCAGGGAAGCCCAGGGGGAUUUUAGGAUGCUGAUGUUUAUCUAGUUUCCAAUCUAGGGGGAGAUUGCCAUGACUGGAAAAGAGGAGGUGAUAAGAAAAGCUGAGGAAUGAUUGAUUUUUUUUUUUUAUUGAGACAAGUAAUUUUGGAGUUGCCAAUAUUCUUGCUUCAGAGUUAUAGUUGAAAUUAAUUUCUUUAUGUCAUUCCUCUUCCCCACAUGUCUUAAAGGUAUGGCAACCUAACAACAAGCGAAAUGCAACUACAUGCAUGUAAUAAGCUAAAAUACAUGUUUUCCACGUGGUCACUCAAGUUUAGUUUCCUAACCAUAAAUGAGAAUUAUCUAUCCCCACUGUAACCUGCCUCUCACCCCCCUUUUCUUUGUCAAAACUGUCUCUGUCUCUGUCUGACUUACUUCACUUAGUAUGACAAUCUCUAGGUCUAUCUAUGUUGCUGCAAGUGGCAUUAUUUCAUUCUUUUAAUAGUUCAGCAAUAUUCCAUUAUAUAUAUGUACCAUGUCUUCUUUAUCCAUUCCUCCACUGAUGGACAUUUAGGUGUCUUGGCUAUUGUAAACAGUGCUGCUGUGAACAUUGGGGUGCAUGUAUCUUUUUGAAUUAUGAUUCUCUCUGUAUAUGUUCCCAGGAGUAGAAUUGCAGGAUCAAAUGAUAGCUCUAUGUUUAGUUUUUUGAGUAAUUUCUAUACUGUUCUCUAAAGUAGCUACACCAAUUUACAUUCCCAGCAAUAGUAUAGGAGGAUUCCUUUUUCCCCACACCCUUUCCAGCAUUGAUUAUUUUGAAUGAUGGCCAUGAGGUGAUACCUCAUUGUAGUUUUGAUUUGCAUUUCUCUCAUUCCCUGGUGGCUCAGUUGGUAAAGAAUCCACCCACAAUGCAGGAGACCCAGAACCGAUCCCUGUGUUGGGAAGAUGCCCUGGAGAAGGAAAUGGCAGCCCACUCCAUUAUCCUUGCCUGGAGAAUCCCAUGGACAGAGAAGCCUGCUAGGCCACAGUCCUUGGAGUUGCAAAGAGCUGGACAUGACUAAGUGACUAACACUUUUGCUUUCAUAAUUAGUGAUGUUGAGAAUCUUUUCUUGUGCCUUUGGCCACCUUUAUGUCUUCUUUGGAGAAAUGUCUAUUUAGUUUUUCUACCCUCUUUUGAUUGAGUUAUUUGUUUUUAUUAAGCUGUAUGAGCUGUUUGUAUAUUUUGGAGAUUAAUCCCCUGUAGGUCACAUCAUUUGCAAAUAUUUUCUCCCAUUCUGUGUAUUGUCUUUUUGUUUUGUUUGUGGUUUCCUUUUCUGUGCAAAACCUUUUAAGUUUACUUAGGCCCCAUUUGUUUAUUUUUGUUUUUAUUUUCAUUACCUUAAGAGAUGGAUCCAAAAAGACAUUGCCUGCUAUUUAUGUCAGUAGUCUGCCUAUGUUUUCUUCUAAGAGAUUUAUAGUAUCCGAUUUUACAUUUAGAACUGUAAUCCAUUUGAAGUUUAUUUUUGUGUGUGGUGUUAGAGAAUGUUCUAAUUCCAUUUGUUUAGUUUUUUUUUUUUAAUUUGACUAUGCCAAUUAUUAGUUGCAACAUGUGGACUCUAUUGCAGUAUGUGGACUGUUAGUUGCAGCAUGCAUCCCUGACCAGGGAUUGAACCUGGGCCCCUUGCAUUGGGAACAUGGAGUCUUAACCACUGGACCACUGUGGAAGUGCCUAAUUUCAUUCUUUCACAUGUAACUGUCUAGUUUUCCCAGCACCACUUAUUGAAGAGACUGUCUUUUCUCCAUUGUAUAUUCUUGCCUCCUUUGUCAAAGAUUAAUUGACCAUAAGUGUGUGGGCUUAUUUCUGGGUUUUCUAGCCUGUUCUAUUGAUCUUUAUUUCUGUUUUUGUGCCAGUAACAUAAUGUUUUGAUUACUGUAAACUUAUAAUAUAGUGUGAAGUCAGGGAGUAUGAUCCCUGUAGCUCCAUUUUUCUUUCACGAGAUUGCUUUGGCUAUUUGGAGUCUCUUGUGUCUCCAUACAAAUUUAAAAACUUUUUGUUCUAAUUCUGUGAAAAAAUGCCAUUGGUAAUUUGAUACAGAUUUUAUUGAAUAUGUAGAUUGCCUUGAUUGACAUAGUCAUUCUAACAAUAUUGACUCUUCUAAUCUGAGAACAUGGUAUAUCUUUUCAACUGUUUGUGUCAUCUUUGAUAUCUUUCAUUAGUAUCUUAUAGUUUUCUAAAUAGGUCUUUUGCAUCCUUAAAUAGGUUUAUUCCUGAGUAUCUUAUUUGUGUUUUUUCUGAAUGGCAGGAGACUAAUAUGAGUUUUUUACUUUAAAUUUUGCCAUAUUACAAUAACAAAAAACCUCCUUACACACAAAAUAGUAAAAAAAAAAAAAAAAAACAACACAAAAACAGAUAUUUUACUAUUGAAAAAUAUAAGCAGGCUGUAAUUUUAAAGAACAGUUAUUUCUGUAAUAAAUUUAGCUUUAUGAACAAAUAUUUAAAUUAUCUACAUUUUCUUCAUUUCACUACUCCUCAUAUGAAACUUCAUCAUGGAUCAGUCCUAGCCUGAUCCUUCAUGGUUUCAAAUGUCAAUAGCCCUGACAAGUGUCUUCUUUACAGUCUAGCUUUGCUUACCCUCCCACCCAUAAUUCUCCCUACUCACAUUCAUGUACUCUCUGUGUCAAAAUCACUGUCAAUGAAAGUCUCUCUCCCUUUUUGGACUUGAUUUGACUCCUUAAUUAGCACAAGAAUUGUACCUUUGUUUUGUAGCUUGUCAGUCUUCAAAAAAAAAAAAAAAAGAUUAACCUUUCAGCUCAAUGCUAGAGAACAUAGAUUCUUAGCCAGACAGCCUCGGUUUGAAUCCCAGCAUCUCCACUUACCAGCUAUAUUAACUUGGACAUGUUUCUCGACUUCUCUGUUCUCAACUCCUCAUCUGUAAAAUUAGAAUUAAGUGGAUUUAAUGUGUUCAUAUUUAUAAAGUGCUUACAACAGUCCUUGGCUCAGAGUAACCACUAUAAAAAUGAUGGUUAAAUAGAAGCAAAAAUAGGUUAAAAUUUUUUCUUUACCUCAUCAAAGACAGCACACCAAACUGGGCCCUGUCAUUUUUUAAUGGACUGUGCCACUGGCCCUAGAAAAGGACCAAUAUGGAAGGUGUCUGGAUGAAUCAGUGAAAAUGUAUCUCAGAUGCUAAAAUAACAACUUGAAGCCACCUGCCACAAUGGACUUCUUUUGUUAGUCAAACAAUCUAGUCAAAAGUAACCUCAGAAUUCUCCUUUAUGGUAACCAUGACUGCUGGGCAUCUUGUCUCUACUUGGCUGCCUUUAGGAAAAGGAUAUCAUCCCCUAUAGGACAGUUUAUCCCACUGAUAAGGUGCCAUAGAGAAGGAUGCUAAAGAGAGAGGGAAAAUAAAUACAGAAAAUCCUAAAGAUUCCGUCAGAAAACUGCUUGAACUAAUUCACUAAAGUUGCAAAAUAUCAAAUUCACACACAAAAUUGUGAUUCUGUACACUAACAGCACACUAUCUGAAAGAGAAAAUAAGGAAAUCCCAUUUACAAUAGCAUCAAAAACAAUAGAAUACUUAGGAGUAAAUUUAACCAAGUAGAUGAAAGACCUGUGUGCUAAGAACUGUUAGACAUGGAUUAAAAGAAUUGAAGAAUACACAAAUGGAAAGAUAUCUCCCAUGUCUUUGGCCUGGAAGAAUUAAUAUUGUUAAAAUAUUAACAGAGGGGAUAGGUUGGGGAGUGGGGAGAUGUUGGUAAAGGGUACAAACUUUCAGUUUUAAGAUGAUUAAGUUCUGAGGAUCUAAUGUACAAUAUAGUAUACGUGAAAUUUCCUAAGACAGUAAGUAGAUCUUAAGAAUUGUCACCAUGCACACAUAGACCUGCAAAGAAGGUCAUAUGAAGUGAUGGAUGUGUUCAUUAAUGGCAGUAAUCAUUUCACAAUGGACACAUAUGUCAAAUCACAUUGUACACUUUAAAUAUACAGUUUUAUUUGUCUAGUGUACCUCAGUAAAGCUGGGGGAGGGAAAUCAAUGAGAAGCAUAAUAAAUUUUUAAAAAUAAAAUGAAAAAAAGGAGAAUAAGGGCUGGAGGAGUAGAGAGUGAGGAGUAGUUACUUAAUGUAUACUGAGUUUUGGUCUGGAAGGAUGAAAAACUUAGGGAAAUCAAUAGUAGUGAUGGUAAUACAAUGUUGUGAACAUACUUAGUGCCAUUUUUAUGCUUAAAAUGGUUUAAAUGGUAAAUUUUAUGUUACAAAUAUUCUCCCACAAUAAUUUUUUUAAAAAUAUGGCUUCUCAAAGAGGGGUUUCUUAAAAAUAGGCAUCUUAUAUGCUGGCUUCAUAUAGACAGGCAUAAUGAAGAGGAAUACUACAGGAGGGGCACCGUAUACAAGGGCAUUGUAGAUUGGUUGCAUCAUAGAGAGGUCCAUCACAGAUAAGGACAUCAUAAAAAGGGACAUCAUGGAAAGUCAUUACAGAGAUGGACCUCAUAGGAGGGAGUUUUGAUGGUUAUCAUAUAUAAUUUCAUCACAGAGAAGAACAACAUAGAAUCAUCCUAGAGAAAUCUAUCAGACAGGAAUACCUUAGAAGCUUUCAUGUCAGCUUCUCUUCUCUGGACAUGAGACCAGAGAUGAUAUUAUUCAUUUGUACUUUUUUUUUGAACAUCUGACAGAUACUUUGGCUUAUAAUAGGUACCUAAUCUUGUUUGCGGGGUGCGUAUAUGUAUACCAUCUCUUCCACACAUAGCGUUUGAAAAAUGUAGAACCUGUUCCCCAUUUCUUCUGCAGACUGAAUUGGCCUAGUUCUUAGAAAAAUUUCCAAUGUACUGGAUAUUUCUGACUUUUCUUAUUCUAAGAGCCCUCUGUAUACCUAUUUGUGAUGGGCAGAAUUUUUAGGAUACAACCCCCCUCAAAGAUGUCCCACCCUAGUCCCUGGAAUCUGUGAUGUUAUGAGAUAACACUACCAUGUCUACAUUAUGUUAUUCCCUAUUAAAAUAGAGAACUUAUCUGUUGGGCAUGAUCUGGUCCCAUGAGCUCUUAAAAGCAGAGAACAUUUGCUGACUGGUGGCAAAGAGGAAGACAGAGAUUCAAAGCAUGAGAAAGGUUUAAUGCACCAUUUCUGUGUUUGAAGAUGGAAGGAGCCAUGUGUAAAGAUGGAAGACUAACCAAUAGGAGUUGAGCAACCCUUCACUACCAGCCAACAAGGAAAUGGUCCUUCGGUCCUACAACCACAAGGAACUAAAUUCGGUCAACAAUCUGAAUUAUCUUGGAAGUAGAUUCUUUCCCAGAGCCUUCAGAUAAGAGUCCUACCAAUACAACAGUUUAAUUUCAGCCUUGUGAGACCCUGAGCAUGGAACCCAAUAGAACCUGUCUAGAUUUCAAGCCUCUAGAAUUGUGAGGUAAUAAAAAGUAUUGUUUUAAUUCACUAAAUUGAUCGUAAUUUGUUAUGCAGCAGUAGAAAGCUAAUAUGUCAUUUGUCACUGUCUCUCUUUAAAAGUUCCUAGAGGGAGAGGGAGAGGGUGGGAUGAUUU
ensembl:lncRNA